rnacentral:rRNA from 1 species
AGCGAACGCUGGCGGCAGGCCUAACACAUGCAAGUCGAACGAACUCUUCGGAGUUAGUGGCGGACGGGUGAGUAACACGUGGGAACGUGCCUUUUGGUUCGGAAUAACUCAGGGAAACUUGUGCUAAUACCGAAUGUGCCCUUCGGGGGAAAGAUUUAUCGCCAUUAGAGCGGCCCGCGUCUGAUUAGCUAGUUGGUGAGGUAACGGCUCACCAAGGCGACGAUCAGUAGCUGGUCUGAGAGGAUGACCAGCCACACUGGGACUGAGACACGGCCCAGACUACUGCGGGAGGCAGCAGUGGGGGAUCUAGCGAAAUGGGGGAAAGGCAGACGCAGCCAUGGCGGGUGAAUGAUGAAGGUCGUAAGAUAAUAAAAUACUUUCACCGGGGACGAUAAUGACGGUACCCAAAGAAGAAGCCCCGGCUAACUUCGUG